UACGAAGGGGGCUAGCGUUGCUCGGAAUUACUGGGCGUAAAGCGCACGUAGGCGGAUUGUUAAGUCGGGGGUGAAAUCCUGGAGCUCAACUCCAGAACUGCCUUCGAUACUGGCGACCUUGAGUCCGGGAGAGGCGAGUGGAACUCCGAGUGUAGAGGUGAAAUUCGUAGAUAUUCGGAAGAACACCAGUGGCGAAGGCGGCUCACUGGCCCGGUACUGACGCUGAGGUGCGAAAGCGUGGGGAGCAAACAGG
rnacentral:rRNA from 1 species